AGAAAGCAUCAAGAACACAUAAUUGUGUACCAACCGACCUUCCGAGGCACGGUGGUUUAGAAUGCGGGACAAUCGUUCAAAAGUUUCGGAAAUC
rnacentral:ncRNA from 1 species